rnacentral:rRNA from 1 species
AGUGAACGCUGGCGGUAGGCCUAACACAUGCAAGUCGAACGGCAGCACAGUAAGAGCUUGCUCUUACGGGUGGCGAGUGGCGGACGGGUGAGGAAUACAUCGGAAUCUACUUUUUCGUGGGGGAUAACGUAGGGAAACUUACGCUAAUACCGCAUACGACCUACGGGUGAAAGCAGGGGAUCUUCGGACCUUGCGCGAUUGAAUGAGCCGAUGUCGGAUUAGCUAGUUGGCGGGGUAAAGGCCCACCAAGGCGACGAUCCGUAGCUGGUCUGAGAGGAUGAUCAGCCACACUGGAACUGAGACGCGGUCCAGGCUCCUACGGGAGGCAGCAGUGGGGAAUAUUGGACAAUGGGCGCAAGCCUGAUCCAGCCAUACCGCGUGGGUGAAGAAGGCCUUCGGGUUGUAAAGCCCUUUUGUUGGGAAAGAAAAGCAGCAGGUUAAUACCCCGCUGUUCUGACGGUACCCAAAGAAUAAGCACCGGCUAACUUCGUG